AGGCCUUUAGAUGGAGAGGAAAGGAGAGGAAGAGAGAGAUAGAAACAUCAAUGAUGAGAAGGAAUCACCGAUCGGCCGCCUCCUGCACGCUGGACCGAGACUACAACCUAGGCAUGUGCCCCCAACCAGAAUCGAACCAGGGACCCUUGAGUCCCCAGGCCGACACUCCAUCCACUGAGCCAUACUGGCUAGGGAGAGAUUCUAUGCCCUCUGACUGGGAAUCCUCCGUGGAGCCCGAGGCUGCAGUGUGUCCCCUCUCCAGCCGCUCCGCUCUCCUCCAGAGGCCAUCCUCAAAAACCUGGGGACCGAGGAGCUCAA